rnacentral:lncRNA from 1 species
UUUUAAGCAAAACUAGGGGCCAGCUGGUGUAAGUGGAGGGUAAAGAGGACACAAGGGCAGGGCAGGGGCUGAUCACAGACCCUGAGCGCUGUGAAGGGAGCAGGGGUUUUGUUUUUUAGUAAGGCAUUCACCGCAGUAAAAAUCUCCAUGUUUUAUACGGAUUACAUUUGAAGUGACACUCUGUUAGAACUUCUGAGCUUAAGAAAAUACAUUGUUAAAAUUAGGUUGACCUCUUUCUUUUUACUCUUUAAUGUGCCACCUGUGGCUGUGACUUUCACGUGUGGCUCGUCAGUGUAUUGCUGUUGGCAGUACUGGUCUAAGGUCUGUGGUAGAUGUCAACUCAAUAGAUUGAGGCCAAGUCCGGCGUUGCUUCGUGGAAACGAAUCUGACGAGGACCCAUGAGGAUGCAGGUUGGAACCCUGGCCCUGCUCAGUGGGUUAAGGAUCUGGCGUUGCCGUGAGCUGUGGUGUAGGUUGCAGACACGGCUCAGAUCUGACGUGGCUGUGGCUGCGGUGUAGGCUGGCGGCACAGCUCCGAUUUGACCCCUAGCCUGGGACCUCCACAUGCUGAGGGUGUGGCUCUACAAAGACAAAAAAAAAAAAAAACAAAAGAUGAAGGCCAGUCAAGAAGGGUUCCCUGUGUGGAUUCCACUGCUGGGUGAAAGAGGCAUCCCGGCCACACUGCCAGCCUCUGGGAAUCCUGUGGGGACUUCCUCUGCAGCUUUUCCCUUCCUUUUCAGGGUUCCAUGUGGAGGAAGCCAGUGGAGAGUGUGUCCGGUGCACAGACGGAGUGGAUUACACCAGUCAUCCAAACACCCUCUUUUCUUGCUUACGCUGCACGGUUUGCAAAUCAGGUGAAGAAGAGAAGACCCCUUGCACAGCAACUGCGGACACACGGUGUGAGUGCAAACCUGGAACUUUCCGUGAAGAAAACUCCUCCGAGUUCUGCCAGAAGUGCCACACCAGGUGAGACGCAGGAGCCCAGGCGGUUUCCAGCAGCUCAAGGGAACUGUCCCAGCAGCCCCUCCCGCCCAGGCCUUCCCUGGGCCCCGCCCGAGCCUGCAAGCAGCCCCUCCCUGCCCCCACCUUCCCAAACCUCCUCAGCACCCGUUCCCCUUCAGCCGGCUCACUGCUUAAGGUUCCCGACACUGUCCGUGGCCCAGGAAAGCUGUAGCUUCUUCUGAUAGCAGAGGGAAGAAAAUGAGUAGAAUGCAGCCAAGCUUACAUUCAUCUGUGACAAUGCCGUCGUAAAAAGGGAAUUUUCCUCGUUUUGGGGCAGGAAAGGGCCCACGAACACAAAGGUGUCCACAGGCGAGUCCUAAUGAGAUGGGGCACGCAGCUCCUUCGAGGUUCCUUCCUGUAAAGCUCUGAGCCAGCCCAGCGGGCCUCACACCCAGCCCUGGUUCCCCAAGAAGACCCGAAUCUUCCCUCUCUGGGGACUCAGGGGCCAGCAGUCCUGCGCUCUUCUCUGGCGCUCCAGUGUGGGCUGUGGCUGGUAGGAAGGGUCAGCAGGUGGAGGACAAGAGGGUCCUUGUGUGAAAGGGCGACUGGCGGGGAGGCGCAGCUUGUGCCCGAGCCCUUCUGACCCUUGACCUGGAUGAGGUUGCCCCUCCCCGGGCUCCCGGGAGGCCCAGGGCAGGCCUUGCAGAGAAGGCCCAGCUCCUGGAGUUCCCGUCGUGGCGCAGUGGUUAACGAAUCCGACUAGGAACCAUGAGAUUGCGGGUUCGGUCCCUGUCCUUGCUCAGUGGGUUAAGGAUCCGGCGUUGCCGUGAGCUGUGGUGUAGGUUGCAGACGCAGGUCGGAUCCCGCGUUGCUGUGGCUGUGGUGUAGGCCGGUGGCUACAGCUCCGAUUCGACCCCUAGACUGGGAACCUCCAUAUGCCGCGGGAGCGGCCCAAGAAAUAGCGACAACAACAACAACAAAGACAAAAGACAAAAAAAAAAAGAAAAAGAAGGCCCAGCUGCUGAAGAGGGGCAGCUCUGAACACUCAGCAGGAGCCCUGGGGGCUGAAGCCCAAGCUCUGAUCCUUCUUGCAGCCAACAAGGCGGGUGAGGGGACCCGGCCCUGCAGACAGGAGAGCCUGUUCCUCCGCCACUGGCCUGUCAGGGACGCUGGGCGGGAGGUGCUUCCCUCUUUCUCCUCAUCUGGCCAGCUUUCCCUGAUGGAUCCCCUGUGUCUGUACCC